rnacentral:rRNA from 1 species
AGGGCACCACCAGGAGUGGAGCCUGCGGCUUAAUUUGACUCAACACGGGAAAACUCACCCGGCCCGGACACUGGAAGGAUUGACAGAUUGGGAGCUUUUUCUUGAUUCAGUGGGUGGUGGUGCAUGGCCGUUCUUAGUUGGUGGAGUGAUUUGUCUGGUUAAUUCCGAUAACGAACGAGACUCUAGCCUACUAAAUAGAUCGUCGGCUUACAAACGCCGGCGAGACUUCUUAGAGGGACAGGCGGUGAUUCAACCGCACGAAACAGAGCAAUAACAGGUCUGUGAUGCCCUUAGAUGUCCGGGGCCGCACGCGCGCUACACUGAAGUGAUCAGCGUGCUUUUUCAACCUACUCUGUCAAGAGUGGGGAACCCAAUGAACCUUCUUCGUGAUUGGGAUAGGGGAUUGUAAUUAUUCCCCUUGAACGAGGAAUUCCCAGUAAGCGCGAGUCAUAAGCUCGCGUUGAUUACGUCCCUGCCCUUUGUACACACCGCCCGUCGCUACUACCGAUUGAAUGUUUU